GAUGAGGUGGCCGAGUGGUUAAGGCGAUGGACUGCUAAUCCAUUGUGCUGUGCAUGCAUGGGUUCGAAUCCCAUCCUCAUCG
rfam:Salmo salar isolate Sally breed double haploid chromosome ssa04, whole genome shotgun sequence.